rnacentral:misc_RNA from 1 species
ACAAACUUGGUCAUUUAGAGGAAGUAAAAGUCGUAACAAGGUCUCCGUUGGUGAACCAGCGGAGGGAUCAUUACCGAGUUAGACAACUCCCUACCCUUUGUGAACAUACCGUAUUUUCGUUGCUUCGGCGGGCUACCCCAGGGGGGGCUGUAGCCUGCAAGAGGCGCCCGCCGGAGGACCUAGACUCUGAAUUUGAUAAGUCUCCUCUGAGUAAAACAAAACAAAAUGAAUCAAAACUUUCAACAACGGAUCUCUUGGCUCUGGCAUCGAUGAAGAACGCAGC